AUUGAACGCUGGCGGCAUGCUUUACACAUGCAAGUCGAACGGUAACAGGGUGCUUGCACCGCUGACGAGUGGCGAACGGGUGAGUAAUGCGUCGGAACGUACCGAGUAGUGGGGGAUAACGCAGCGAAAGUUGUGCUAAUACCGCAUACGUACUGAGGUAGAAAGUGGGGGACCUUCGGGCCUCACGCUAUUCGAGCGGCCGACGUCUGAUUAGCUAGUAGGUGAGGUAAAGGCUCACCUAGGCGACGAUCAGUAGCGGGUCUGAGAGGAUGAUCCGCCACACUGGGACGGAGAAACGGCCCAGACUCCUACGGGAGGCAGCAGUGGGGAAUUUUGGACAAUGGGCGAAAGCCUGAUCCAGCCAUGCCGCGUGUCUGAAGAAGGCCUUCGGGUUGUAAAGGACUUUUGUCAGGGAGGAAAUCCCUAGUGCUAAUAACACUGGGGGAUGACAGUACCUGAAGAAUAAGCACCGGCUAACUACGUGCCAGCCGCCGCGGUAA
rnacentral:rRNA from 1 species